UACGGAGGGAGCUAGCGUUAUUCGGAAUUACUGGGCGUAAAGAGCGCGUAGGCGGUUAUACAAGUUGGAAGUGAAAGCCCAAGGCUCAACCUUGGAACUGCUUUCAAAACUGUAUAACUAGAGAUUGAUAGGGGAUAGCGGAAUUCCUAGUGUAGAGGUGAAAUUCUUAGAUAUUAGGAGGAACACCGGUGGCGAAGGCGGCUAUCUGGAUCAAUACUGACGCUAAGGUGCGAAAGCGUGGGGAGCAAACAGG
rnacentral:rRNA from 1 species